UUGACUGAGUGGCGGACGGGUGAGUAACGCGUGGGUAACCUGCUCAUACAGGGGGAUAACAGUUAGAAAUGACUGCUAAUACCGCAUAAGACCACAGUACCGCAUGGUACAGGGGUAAAAACUCCGGUGGUAUGAGAUGGACCCGCGUCUGAUUAGGUAGUUGGUGGGGUAACGGCCUACCAAGCCGACGACCAGUAGCCGACCUGAGAGGGUGACCGGCCACAUUGGGACUGAGACACGGCCCAA
rnacentral:rRNA from 1 species